AGGAAACAUCUGUGCUGUGUCUGCUCUGAGUCGAGGAAACACAGCAGGCAGUGAAAAGCUCAAAUCAUUCACUCAUUAUAUCAACACAGCUGCACAGUGGACACAUGACUGUACUGGGUUAUUUAAAUGUAUUCUGAUCUCACUGCUGAGCUGCACAA